AUGCCCAGUGAUUAUAAAAAGACGCGUUAUUCUGAGGAACACAACCUGCUACCAGUCUGUCUUCUACCACGCCCUCUGUCUUUGAUCUCCAUCGCUCUCCUCCUCCUCCCCCCCUCCUCUCUGGUAGCUGGUCCACUGACUGCGAUUAUGAGAUAUGAGGGCAU
ensembl:snoRNA SNORD97 Small nucleolar RNA SNORD97